CUACGUGCCAGCAGCCGCGGUAAUACGUAGGGCGCGAGCGUUGUCCGGAAUUAUUGGGCGUAAAGAGCUCGUAGGCGGCUGGUCGCGUCUGUCGUGAAAUCCUCUGGCUUAACUGGGGGCUUGCGGUGGGUACGGGCCGGCUUGAGUGCGGUAGGGGAGACUGGAACUCCUGGUGUAGCGGUGGAAUGCGCAGAUAUCAGGAAGAACACCGGUGGCGAAGGCGGGUCUCUGGGCCGUUACUGACGCUGAGGAGCGAAAGCGUGGGGAGCGAACAGGAUUAGAUACCCUGGUAGUCCACGCCCUAAACGAUGUCAAUUAGCUGUUGGGCAACUUGAUUGCUUAGUAGCGUAGCUAACGCGUGAAAUUGACCGCCUGGGGAGUACGGUCGCAAGAUUAAAACUCAAAGGAAUUGACGGGGACCCGCACAAGCGGUGGAUGAUGUGGAUUAAUUCGAUGCAACGCGAAGAACCUUACCUGGUCUUGACAU
rnacentral:rRNA from 1 species